AAGAGAUUAACUAAUAUCCAAAAUUACUCAUUGAUUUCCCUUUAUUUUAUAGGACGAGUUUUUGUUUACCUAUUAAACCCUAAAGCCGACUCCAACAGUGACCAUUCAUCCGAGUGUUGCAAGUUUAAUCUCCAUCACCGGUGGUUGUAGAAUCCCUUCACACCGGCCAUCAACAGCCUCCUUCUUUAAACCUCGAUGCCUCCACCAUUCUCUUCCUCGUUUCCACUUCAAAAGAACCCCUUCCCGCCGGCCAUCGGCAGCCUCCUUUAAACCUCGAUGCAUCCACCAUUGUCUUCCUCGUUUCCACUUCAAAAAGUUGCUAAGCUAAGAUGACAUGUGGGUUUAGGUUUUGAAGAGGAAAAGAAAGAAAACAUAGAGGGACGAUAGUAUAUUCUAGAAGAAUGUUAUUCUUAAAGAAUGCUAUUGACAUUGUAUUCUUAAAAAAUGGAUUUGUUAUUCAUUAAGAAUGUAUUUUCUUUUAUUUUAUUAGAAUGGAUUAACAACAAUAUUCUUUGAGAAUGUAUUAGUAUUUUACCUUGA